ensembl:lincRNA B230323A14Rik RIKEN cDNA B230323A14 gene
GGGCAGCGCCUACCGGUGUGCGCAAUGGGAAGGUAUGAGCGGAGCAGCGCGCGGAGCCGGCUGGCAGGGCAACCAGAAGGGCUGGGGACCUUGGUAAAGGCAUGAGGAGAAGUGUUAAGGACAUGUUUGUUUAACAAAACAGCUGAUCAAGGACACUGCUUACCCUGGAAGUCCGGAGUUCCUAGUGCUGAAGAUAAAGGAAGUCAAGAAUUGGUCUUCCCAGUAAGACAGGUGGAGGACUGAGCUCAUUUGGCUUGCUGUUUUUAUCUCUGUGCUGAAAGACAAGGACAUACCUGCCUUGCCUGGAGCUUCUGGUUACAGCUGUGUGCUGGCCUUACAACAGGCUGGCCUUAAAGACAGACCAGGUCCUAAGGGCAAACCAAAAGGAGGUAGGCAAGAGACAGUAAGAAGCAAACACUUUACCUUGUGAAGUUAAGAUUUAGGUCUGGAAAUAGAUCCCCUACCCCCAGGGCUCUCUCUGGUCCCCUGCUGGUCCUCUCUUCCUGCUUCUCCCUCAGAUCACCUUCCUAGAUCCUGCCACUCCAGAGUGACUCCUAAAGACUGGAAAGGGAAAGAGGAGUUAGCAGAGAUGGAAGUGGAGGUCCAACCCCAGCCUUGAACUGACUGUGACCCAUACAGAGCUGCCAGACAGUGAGGCAGAACCUCUCCUGCCUGGGCUCCUCUGCCCCAGCGCCAAAUGGCUUCGUAUGCUUAUGCCUCAAAUGGAGCUGCAUCUGAAUGCUAUGUCUGCCGCUCACUAUGUACAGAUGACUGGAAAACUGCAGAAGAGCAGGCAAGUCACCCAGAACUCUGCACAGAGAUGAAGACAGUUCGAAAUAUUGAUACUUCAAUUUCCCAUCUGUCGUUUUUCAUUCUGUUGAUUUUGCAUUUAGCUCAGGCUUGACUCAAACUCUGCAGCCAUGGAUUACUCAAAGCCAUUUGAAUUCCCAGUUUAGAGAAUCCCUGGUGGAUGGUCCACUGUUUCCAGAAGCACAGGGAACAUCUGUGAAGAGAGUCACGAGCAUCUUUGGCUAUGGUGCUGUGCCAGUCUGAUCCUGCAAGGCUUGCUUUCAGAAUGCAGGCCAGCGCACGAGCUUGGACCAGCAGGCAGCAGAGGUUCAUAACAAGAAACACCUUAUCCCUACAGGAAAUCCCACAACCUUUAGCAAUGACUAUUCAUUGCCAUUUGAUAAGUAGUACCCCCCUGUGCGCCAGGGGCUAGAGAGUGCAAAUUUGAACAAAUUAAGACCACAGACUGCGUUUUAAUAAGGACAAGGAAGGCACAUCUGAAGAGUUCCCGUCUGGAGGAAGAAUGCACUUUCCUGGUUAGGAGAAGCAGCGGGACACAGGGGCCAGACCGCUCAGGGCUUUGAGGAGAUGCUGAAGUUAACCAGAAAUGCUUUGUGUUGCCGUUCCUGUUGAAACGUUUCUGAGAUUGCUUCUACAUGCUGCAGGAGGUUUUGAAAUGCUGCACUAGAUCUCUUAAGAACAGAUGUAUUCAAGCAACUGUCCAGACCAACUGACAGAGGAGAGUCAGGCAUCCUGAAAGGGGCUGGGAAGUUUAUGAAGAUGGGUUAGACUUAGUCUGCACAGCCUGGGGAUCCUGGAUGAGAACUGACUUAUGACAAUAUCAGC